GACGAACGCUGGCGGCGUGCUUAACACAUGCAAGUCGAACGGAAAGGCCCUGCUUUUGUGGGGUGCUCGAGUGGCGAACGGGUGAGUAACACGUGAGUAACCUGCCCUUGACUUUGGGAUAACUUCAGGAAACUGGGGCUAAUACCGGAUAGGAGCUCCUGCUGCAUGGUGGGGGUUGGAAAGUUUCGGCGGGUGGGGAUGGACUCGCGGGUUAUCAGCUUGUUGGUGGGGUAGUGGCUUACCAAGGCUUUGACGGGUAGCCGGCCUGAGAGGGUGACCGGCCACAUGGGGACUGAGAGACGGCCCAGACUCCUACGGGAGGCAGCAGUGGGGAAUAUUGCACAAUGGGCGGAAGCCUGAUGCAGCAACGCCGCGUGCGGGAUGACGGCCUUCGGGUUGUAAACCGCUUUCGCCUGUGACGAAGCGUGAGUGACGGUAAUGGGUAAAGAAGCACCGGCUAACUACGUG
rnacentral:rRNA from 1 species